GCCAACCUUCACAAUACCCAGGGAGGCUCAGUCAGCCUUCACAAUGGCACAGCCAACCUUCACAAUACCCAGGGAGGCUCAGUCAGCCUUCACAACACCCAAUGAGGUACUGUCAACCUUCACAACACCCAAUGAGGUACAGUCGAUCUUCACAACAUCCAGGGAGGCACAGCCAACCUUUAUAACACCCAAUGACACAAGGCAAACUUCACAAUAUCCAGGGAGGCUCAGCCAGCCUUCACAACACCCAGGGAGGUACAGUCAAUCUUCACAACAUACAGGGAGGUACAGUCAAUCUUCACAACACCCAGGGAGGUACAGUCAAUCUUCACAACACCCAGGGAGGUACAGUCAAUCUUCACAACAUACAGGGAGGUACAGUCAACCUUCAUUAACACCCAGUGAUACAAGGUAACCCUCAGAACACCCAGGGAGGCUCGGCCAGCCUUCACAAUGGCACAGCCAACCUUCACAACAUACCUGGAACCCAGUUCCUCAGCCUCACUCUCUUGCAUCACGACCAG